rnacentral:ribozyme from 13 species
UCCAAGAUCGAAAAAAAAGAAGAAAGGGAAGAAAGAGGAAAUUCAGUGUCAAGUUAGCGGUGCCACAUCAAAUGGUUCUCAAAUCGCCCUUUGGUCAUCUUCUGUCUCUUCUCCUUCUUCAAAACCUGUCCAA